UACGAGUGCUCCAAGCGUUAUCCGGAAUUAUUGGGCGUAAAGGGUGUGUAGGCGGUUAUGUUAGUCUUCUGUUAAAUUCUUCGGCUUAACCGGGGGCAUGCAGGGGAAACGGCAUAACUAGAGGAUGCGAGAGGUGAAUGGAACUCAUGGAGUAGGGGUGAAAUCCGUUGAUAUCAUGGGGAACACCAAAUGCGAAGGCAAUUCACUGGCGCACUCCUGACGCUGAAACACGAAAGCGUAGGUAGCGAAUGGG
rnacentral:rRNA from 1 species